GUGGCACUCCUUGGCAUUCCCAGUGUUCAGUUCAGAUACCCAAGUGCCAGCGGGUGGAUGUGCCAGUGCCAAGCGAUCUCAUACGCUAUAUAAGGUUACGCGAUAAAGUUUACAGGAAAAUUUAUGAAUAAAUGAAAACCUGAUGUCCAUGAGGAUUAGAGUGAAUAUUCCCAAGCUUUUCACGAGGCGUAAGUGCAUACACACGCCUGAGAAGACGAGGAAAAAAGGUGCCCGCACGCCCGCGGACCUCGCUCAUUACAGCCGCCCGUGAGGAAGGCCAUUUCGGGCGUGAUAAAUCGCCGAAUCAAAACUGGUCUUGAGAAAAAGAAA